AUUAACGCCUAGAACAAUGAAGAAAAUGGAGCGGGGAAUAGAGCCGUUGUUCUCAAUUAAUAAUUUAUGAUUAAUUUUCAAAAUCGAUGACCCAAGGAGAGUUCAUAAAGUAUUACCUGUAGAAUCACUACAAAAUAUAAAAACAUCAACUAUUAAAAAAGUUGGUCAAUAUGAAGAAGUCUUGAAAGAUUUAACAUAUAAAAUAGACCAAAAUCAUCCCGAAUAAGCAUUAUUGAAAAACUACAUGGAUGCAAAAUUCCUAAAAAUGACGAGAGAGAUGAAGGAUCAACUUACUUCCAUAAAGAGAAGUCUACAAAAUGAUUUAAAAGAAAAGGUUGAUGAACUAAAACAUAAUUUGAUCAUGA